CCAAGGUGGAGUUUAAAGGGCACUGAACGCGAUCCUUGACUUCGCCGUGAUGUUAAACUCUUUAGAUGAAUUGUUCGUCACCAAGAAGAUGUCUUUACUAAUAAUGCAUGAAGUGGAUUGGGGGAAAAAGCCUCCCUGCAGCCAAGCGAUAGACGCGUGAUUGCAUCUUGGGCAAGGACACUUUGGUGCGUUCUGAAGACGAAGUGGCCGAAUACGCAACCAUUGGUAACCACGUCCCACCAAAUGAAGCUUAUUUCAUCCACCCAGGAGGAACUCAAAUCGGUUCUCGUUCAAUUCCCUGAAAAAAGAAACCGUCUCUCGGCGUGUGGAGUGAAACUUCAAACAUCGCAUCAAAC